UACGUAGGGACCAAGCGUUGUUCGGAUUUACUGGGCGUAAAGGGCGCGUAGGCGGCAAUUCAAGUCAUCUGUGAAAUCUCCGGGCUUAACCCGGAACGGUCAGGUGAUACUGUUUUGCUAGAGUGCGGAAGGGGCAAUCGGAAUUCUCGGUGUAGCGGUGAAAAUGCGUAGAUAUCGAGAGGAACACCAGAGGUGAAGACGGGUUGCUGGGCCGACACUGACGCUGACAGCGCGAAAGCCAGGGGAGCAAACGGG
rnacentral:rRNA from 1 species